CCUACUCCAAUGGGAAUGGGGCAACUUCCAGGGGCGGGAUCCAGGGGGGUGGGGCGAGCGGUUCCCUGUAAAGGAAUCUCUCCAGUUCAGAGGUUGCAAGUUCCUGAGAGUGAGCGGUCCACGUGCAGGAUGCCAGAGCAAAAGAAGAAAAGGUCUGAAAUGUCAGAGAAAAAGAAAAGGAAAUUCAAGGAGUUAGUGGAAGGAGAGAAACCUCUAAAGAAGAAGAAGUUGAGUGUCAAGAUAUCCUCAGACCCAAUGGAUACAGAAAUUUCUCAGAUGGAUGCAGCAAGUGAUGAGGAAAAGCAAGAUGAGCAGGAACUGACUCCAGAGGAAAUGAGAACCCUGGAAAGAAAACUGAAGAAAGAACGAAAGAAAGAACAAAAGAAGCAGCUUCGGGAAGCAGGGAUUCGUGUUGUAAAAGAAAACCCUGAGAAACCCUCGGGAGCUGAGUUGGCCUUAGACUAUCUCACUAGUUGGGCCAAUAAGCGUGAGGAAUGGAAGUUUCAGAAGACAAGGCAGACCUGGCUCCUGCUUCAUAUGUAUGACAGCAAUAAGGUCCCAGAUAAGCAUUUCUCCAUUCUGCUAGACUACCUGGAGGGUCUGAAAGGAAGAGCCCGAGAGAUGACAGUGCAGAAAGCUGAAACGCUUAUGAAGAAACUGGAUAAUACAGAGCCCGAAGAUUCAAGCUUACUAGAGAAGAGUGAAAGAAUCCGGCAAAUCCUGCAGCUGCUUUCCUAAAAAGGAACAAGCCCACAUCUCUGCAACUGCUUCAGCAGAAGAAAAGUUGUCUUCCCAAAAUCUCAGGAAAGGAUGACUCUCCCCUUCUCUCACCUGAAUGUAUAUGGAUAUGUGUGCACAUGUGUAUGCACAUACAACAGAAUGUUUUUUCUAAAUUUCAGCAUCUGAUCUUCUCUCAGGCAAGUUAUCUGGAGAAGGAGGAAUAAUGCAAGGCACAUGCAUCACCCCUGGAAGCCAAAACUGAAAUCAAAUACAGACUUGGUGCCAUUGACGGGAGACGCUAGAUCAUUCUCAUCAGCUCCAGACAAACUGUUUUCUUCCCCACCCAGCAGAAGAAAUUUGCUGUUUUUCCUUCUCCCCUCCCCCACUCAGAGUUUUUAAAGAUUUUUCUCCCACUUCCCAAAAAAGAAAAGUAAACCAUGCAGACAUCUCUGGGGUAGGAGGAAAAACUGGGUCCUGAGCUGGGCAGUCCCAGGUUGGUUAAAAGACUAGAGCAUCCAUUGAGGCCAUCAUACACAACUUCUUCUAUAGAAAGAGUGUUGGCUCUGUAGUCAGAAGUCUUGGGUUCAAAUCCUCUCUCAGGUACUUUGGAGAGGUCGUACUACUUGCUUGGGCUUCAUUUUCCCCAUCUCUAAAAUGGAGGGGCUGGAUCUAGAUUAAAGCUUACUAAAUGAUAGGUCACAAUCCUAUAUGGGGUCACAUAACUGAAUGUGGGGCUCACAAAAAUUUUGUCAACGGUAAAAGGUUUCCUGAAUGCUCUGCAUCCAGCAGUAUCAGAUAUUCUGCCAAGAUUUAAUUCUUCAUGUAAGAAUAACUAAGCAAAUCCAUUUCAUUACUAUGCAAAUUUGCUUUCCUUUUUAAUAAAUGGUAAAAUUAUAUGUAUACCAAAGAAUUGUUUUAAAAUCAUUUUCUUUAUGAUUUAUUAUUAGUAAAUGUUUGAUUUGUAUACCUGUUUUAUAUACCUAUGUACCUGGGGUUGCAUGAAGGUUUCUCAGGAGGAAAAAAAGGUCAUGAGUGGGGGAAAAAAUUGGGCUAGAGAACCAUUAAGGACCUUCCAGUUCUAGAACUACAACCCUAUGAAUGUCUGUGGCUUUUCCUGGCUUAAUAUGGAUCACAGUGGGUUCCAAAAUGUUCUCUAAAGCAGGAUUCUUUAGCUGGGGUCCUUUAACUCCUUUUAAAAAUGAUUUUGAUAAAUGUAUUUGAAAUACUUACAAAAGUAUCUGUAAUACUUACAAAAUCAAAUUGCAGUGAAUUAAAUCCACAAUUAACAUAAAUAAAAUGUUCAAAAAAUAA